CAUGACGAUGCUUUCCUCCCUGCAGGGUGGCCCUGGCCCCCUUGUCAGAUUCCAGCUGGCCAUCAGUGCUCGCGUGUCUCUCUGAAGAGGCUCCGCGGUUCUGGUCCCUGUGCCUGAGCUCCAGGUGCCGCCAGGUGAGGCCCCUGCUGCUCGCCUUGGGCUGUGCUUUCCGCCAGCCACUCUCCUUCCCAGAUGCAGCCCAGAGCAGCGUUCAGGCACACGCAGGUCUCAUCACACCCCACUGUGUCCUGCUGCAACUCUGGGUGUCCUUCAAGCCCUGAGGCAAAUCUGCAUUCUUUGCUGGAUUCAGAAACAUUCAGACUGUGCCCCAGCCAGAAGCUUCUGAGGAAGAGGUAUUUCAGUGGGCCUCUAGCACAGUGUUCUACUGCUUCAGUUCCCAGGACCUACGGGCACCUGGGCCCACGGCUGGCACUUUUGCAUCUGUGUAUUUGGGAUCUUUUCUGCCCUGUGGCUUGAGAGCCCCAGGAAGUCCCAGCAUGGCCCCUCUUGAGACUGGUGGGAGUUUGUCCCAUGUCCGAACAGAGGUAAUUGGGGAUUUGGUAGGAGAUCACCUAGAAAGGCCGCUCUUGAGACUGCUGUUUAGGCUGUGAACUCCCAUAAAACGGCUUCAUCUUGGCCUCAGACUCCAGACAAACGCUUCUUAAUAUACUGAAAUCUCUUCUUUGAACAUUUUACAAUGCCAAUAGAACACUUUUUAAGUCAAGCUAUACUGUAUUACACACGCUCGCGCGCACACACGCUUCCCCUCAGAAGUGGAACUGCCAGGUUGUAGUGCAUGAGCCCUUUUUCAUCUUUGCAGUGGCAGAUGUGUUUUGAUCGUUUGUCAUGGGUGGUGGUAGAAUGUUAAGCAUGUUUGAAUAGCCACCGAGAAUAGGUUGAUUAUGGAAAGAAAACACGGACAAAGUAGAUUAUGGACUGAAUUGGGUUAUACCAAGGAAUUCCUGUUGCUUUUGCUAGUUGUAAUAAUAGCAUCGUGUUUUGGUAAGAAAAAGGCCUUAGUGUUUAGUAAUGCAUACUGAAGCAGAUGGGGCAAAAUAACAGGUUGUCUGAAAUUUGCUUUAUUUUUUUAUUUUAUUUUAUUUUUUUAGACAAGAGUCUUGCUCUGUCACCCAGGCUACAGUGCAGUGGCGCGAUCUCAGCUCACUGCAACCUUUGCCUCUUGGGUUCAAGGGAAUCUCCUGCUAAGUAAUCCAAGUAGCUGGGAUUAUAGGCACCUACCACUGUACCCGGCUAAUUUUUGUAUUUUUAGUAGAGACGGGGUUUCACCUGUUGGCCAGGCUGGUCUCGAACUCCUGGCCUCAAGUGAUCUGCCCACCUCGGCCUCCCAAAAUGCUGGGAUUACAGGCGUGAGCCACCAUGCCUGGCCUGAAAUUCGCUUUAAAUUACCUCAGGCAAAUACAGAAAUGUACAUGGCUUGAUAGUUGAUGCUGAGGCAGGAACAUGCUGAGAUCUCAGGAUCUGGGUGAUAGGCAGCUGGAAGGGCUCUGUGCUAUCCUUUCUUCCUGUGGUUGAAAAUGUUCAUAAUUUAAAGAAGGAUGUUAAGGUUCGGAGUGUAGGACUUCCGAAAACAUUGCAUCUCCAGUGGGAAUUAUUGAGAGUGAGUGGCGACAGUUGCUCUAAGGCCAGCUGAGCAGAUAGGUGUCUUUCCUCAGCUCUCCAGGGUCUGUGGGCAGCUCUGCUUUUUCCUCUAGUUGCAUUUCUUGAGGCCACUUAGGUACAUUUCCUUUCUAUUCUCUCCCUUUCCUGCCCAGACAUUAUACAACGUGAAGGCUGAGAUCUUUCCCCCUUCGGGAAUGGAGUAUUGCAGAACAGGCUCCCUCUGCUCCCUGGAGGUUUUGAUCACGAGGCUCUCAGACCUCUUGGAGGUGGAUAAAGAUGAAGCACUGACUGAAUCUGAUGAGCAUUUUUCGACAAAGCUUAUGUAUGAAGUUGUCGACAACAGUAGCAACUGGGCAGUGUGUGGGAAAAGCUGCGGUGUCAUCUCCAUGCCAGUGGCUGCUCGGGCCACUCACAGGGUCCACAUGGAAGUGAUGCCGCUCUUCGCCGGGUAUCUCCCCCUGCCCGACGUCAGGCUGUUCAAGUACCUCCCCCAUCAUUCUGCACACUCCUCCCAACUGGACGCUGACAGCUGGAUAGAAAACGACAGCCUGUCAGUAGACAAGCACGGGGACGACCAGCCGGACAGCAGCAGCCUCAAGAGCAGGGGCAGCGUGCAUUCGGCCUGCAGCAGCGAGCACAAAGGCCUACCCAUGCCCCGGCUGCAGGCACUGCCGGCCGGCCAGGUCUUCAACUCCAGCUCGGGCACACAAGUCCUGGUCAUCCCCAGCCAAGAUGACCACGUCCUGGAAGUCAGUGUAACAUGACAACGCCAGGGUGAACACACGCCACUUCCCAGCUAGGAGUGCACUUUAUGGGACUGUGACUGGACUCUUCUCCGUUCUGGCUCCAGCCAGACCUUCAGUGGUCCUGCCUGGCCAUGGGGACAUCAGAGAGUGUCAUCACGCAGCUGGCCAGCUGAGUUCUGUUGUUGUUUUCAUGCCGCCUGUGAUCUCAGAUUCCUGCUUUUCUCACCCCGUCCCCAUGCUGGUGUCCGACGCCGCUUACUCAGAGCCCUGGCCUCCCUCCCCCUACCUCACACGCUGCUCAUGAAAGUUUCCACCCACGCUGUCUCCACGGAACAGCCUCCGUCUGCUGGCUCUUCGUGGAAGGCCAUUUGUCUUUCAGGUAGACACUCAGCAGGCCUCACGGUCUUAGUGACGUGUGUGCCUUUCUGGUCACACAGCUGCCCAGUUUCCUGAUCGGGGUGGAUUUGUGUCCCCUAAGGGGUAAAACAGCCAUUUACCGCAGAUCCUCUCAUUGUGCUUUUCUAGAAUAACACCCUUCUAGGGGAGGCGGGUGGGGGAGGGAGGGAUCAUAACCCCUUCUGUGCCUUGGGACGCCGGAGCUGGGGGACCUGGAGGCCCAUCAGCCGGAGCCACGUGAAAGAUACUGAAGAAAGCUGAGACCCGGCUGUGAGGAGCGCCUCAGCGGUGAGGUGGUUUAGGGAUAAAUGUUUCUGGAACCCUGUGGUCCCCCAUAAUGUUGAUAGAAUAUCAUAUGCACUGGGAGUUAAAUAUAUUUAAUUUAAUGAUCAUUAUAUAUGUGGGGGUUAAUAUGUUGUUUUUCUGUCCCUUUAAAGUCUUUACAUGUAAUUGUAGCUGUAUAAUCGUUAUUUUUCUUUUGCAUCUUAAGUCUUAGAAAUUAAGAUAUUCCAUCGUGAGGAUGAGAGAGGUCCUCAGGGUGUUUUUGGUCUGGUUGUAGGGAAGGACUCAAGUCCUGGAAUGUCCUCCACUGGUCUACUGAGUUGCAGUCACACUGUUCCAAUGGAUUAUUUGCUUUCGGUUGUAAAUUUAAUUGUACAUAUGGUUGAUUUAUUAUUUUUAAAAAUACAGACUAACUGAUGUAAUGUUUAUGUAUAAGUUGCACCAAAAAUCAAGGACAAAAAUAAGUGUGUUUGUUUUUACAGGUGUGAAAGUCACAGCUUGUAAAUAAGUGUUGUAUGUAUUAAACCUUUUCCAGUUCUCCAAAGCGAUGUAUUUUUGUACUUUUGAAAUAGAGUACUCUUAAUUUACUGGGCAAAUGUGCUUGGAAUUGAACUUGACAAGAUUAGCUCAAGCAGAUAGAGUCGGGUCCAGCAGUGGGUGGCCCUCGUGUGAAUCCCCGUGGAUGUGCAAGUUGUGGAGAGAAGGAGCACCGGGUUCCUGCCCAGCACUGUGCUUGCGGGAGGCGGUGGGGCAUGGGAGGAAGGAGGCACAGACCGGGGAAAUAUGACAGCCGUCAUUUCCAGUAUUCUCUGUGUUGUCUUUUAGCUCAUUCAAUAAAUAAAGGUGGUGUGAUUUUUUUUUC
rnacentral:sRNA from 1 species